rnacentral:miRNA from 1 species
ACAUGGUCGGUAUCCCUGGAA